CAGCCGCCGCGGUAAUACGUAGGUGGCAAGCGUUGUCCGGAAUUAUUGGGCGUAAAGGGCUCGCAGGCGGUUUCUUAAGUCUGAUGUGAAAGCCCCCGGCUCAACCGGGGAGGGUCAUUGGAAACUGGGAAACUUGAGUGCAGAAGAGGAGAGUGGAAUUCCACGUGUAGCAGUGAAAUGCGUAGAGAUGUGGAGGAACACCGGUGGCGAAGGCGACUCUCUGGUCUGUAACUGACGCUGAGGAGCGAAAGCGUGGGGAGCGAACAGGAUUAGAUACCCCGGUAGUCCCUGUCUCUUAUAC
rnacentral:rRNA from 1 species